ACGAGUUUGAGCUGGCGUCGACACGUGGCAUGGGACUAGUCAGUUAAACUGGCGAUUUGUAAGUAGCAGGGCUCCUCAGCUUUUUCAGGGUUGCAGCUCAGCUUUUUCAGGGUUGUAGGCACGCGUGAAGGCAGCAGGAGCAGCACUUGA
rnacentral:pre_miRNA from 1 species